GAAUGCGAUUCAGGCCUAACACAUGCAAGUCGAGCGAUGAAGCACCUUCGGGUGUGAAUUAGCGGCGAACGGGUGAGGAACACGUGAGAAAUCUGCCUUCAACUCUGGGAUAACUCCGGGAAACCGGGGCUAAUACCGGAUAUGAGCCUCGAUCGCAUGAUCGGGGCUGGAAAGUUUUUCGGUUGAAGAUGAUCUCGCGGCCUAUCAGCUUGUUGGUGAGGUAAUGGCUCACCAAGGCGACGACGGGUAGCCGGCCUGAGAGGGCGACCGGCCACACUGGGACUGAGACACGGCCCAGACUCCUACGGGAGGCAGCAGUGGGGAAUAUUGGGCAAUGGAGGAAACUCUGACCCAGCGACGCCGCGUGAGGGAUGAAAACGGUGUCGGGUUGUAAACCUCUUUCAGUAGGGAAGAAGCGAAAG
rnacentral:rRNA from 1 species